rnacentral:rRNA from 1 species
UACGUAGGGUGCGAGCGUUAAUCGGAAUACUGGGCGUAAAGCGUGCGCAGGCGGUUAUGUAAGACAGUUGUGAAAUCCCCGGGCUCAACCUGGGAAUUGCAUCUGUGACUGCAUAGCUAGAGUACGGUAGAGGGGGAUGGAAUUCCGCGUGUAGCAGUGAAAUGCGUAGAUAUGCGGAGGAACACCGAUGGCGAAGGCAAUCCCCUGGGCCUGCACUGACGCUCAUGCACGAAAGCGUGGGGAGCAAACAGG